ACUUGAAUUGAAGAGUUUGAUCAUGGCUCAGAUUGAACGCUGGCGGCAGGCUUAACACAUG
rnacentral:rRNA from 1 species